UACGGAGGAUGCGAGCGUUAUCCGGAUUUAUUGGGUUUAAAGGGUGCGCAGGCGGCACGGCAAGCCGGCGGUCAAAUCGCGGGGCUCAACCCCGCCCAGCCGUCGGAACUGCCGGGUUAGAGUGGGCGAGAAGUGCGCGGAAUGCGUGGUGUAGCGGUGAAAUGCAUAGAUAUCACGCAGAACUCCGAUUGCGAAGGCAGCGCACCGGCGCCCUACUGACGCUCAGGCACGAAAGCGUGGGUAUCGAACAGG
rnacentral:rRNA from 1 species